UCUUAUCAACUGGCAAAAGUCUCUCGGCAUACUGAAGCCAUUUCCUGUACAGCCAUCAACACAGAGGGAAGAAACAGCUCUGAUCCACAUCAAAUUAAUGUUCUGUAUCCUCCUUUUAAUGUAAAAGUAGUCACAGGACCUCCAGUGAAGGAGAAUGACUCUGUAACACUGACCUGCUCCAGCGACAGCAACCCUGCUGCAAACAGCUAUGAGUGGUUCAGCUUAAACAACACAUUGGUAGCAAAGGGAUCCUCUUAUCAACUGGUGAAAGUCUCUCGGCAUACUGAAGCCAUUUCCUGUACAGCCAUCAACACAGAGGGAAGAAACAGCUCUGAUCCACAUCAAAUUAAUGUUCUGUAUCCUCCUUUUAAUGUAAAAGUAGUCACAGGACCUCCAGUGAAGGAGAAUGACUCUGUAACACUGACCUGCUCCAGCGACAGCAACCCUGCUGCAAACAGCUAUGAGUGGUUCAGCUUAAACAACACAUUGGUAGCAAAGGGAUCCUCUUAUCAACUGGUGAAAGUCUCUCGGCAUACUAAAGCCAUUUCCUGUACAGCCAUCAACACAGAGGGAAGAAACAGCUCUGAUCCACAUCAAAUUAAUG